rnacentral:rRNA from 1 species
UACGGAGGGGGCUAGCGUUGUUCGGAAUUACUGGGCGUAAAGCGCACGUAGGCGGCUUUGUAAGUUAGAGGUGAAAGCCCAGGGCUCAACCCUGGAAUUGCCUUUAAGACUGCAUCGCUUGAACAUCGGAGAGGUAAGUGGAAUUCCGAGUGUAGAGGUGAAAUUCGUAGAUAUUCGGAAGAACACCAGUGGCGAAGGCGACUUACUGGACGAUUGUGACGCUGAAGUGCGAAAGCGUGGGGAGCAAACAGG